GGGGGAGCAGAGGUGAGUUCCGGCGAGGAGCCAGGUCAGAUAUGAGCUGUUCUGGUGGUCGAGCAGCAAGGGGACCGUUGUGUAGAAACCAACGUGGUUGGUGGACCAGUGAAUUAUAUCAAAAGGGAAAAUUUGUUGAAGUUACAGGUGAGAAAGUACAGGAAAAGAAACUAGACUAGGCAAGUCAACUUUGAAACUAGCCAACAAACUAACGAGUAAGGACCGCUCUUGAAGAUAGUGACUGA
rnacentral:lncRNA from 1 species